UCAGUCGACUCCUACGGGGAGGCAGCAGUGGGGGAAUAUUGCACAAUGGGCGCAAGCCUGAUGCAGCCAUGCCGCGUGUAUGAAGAAGGCCUUCGGGUUGUAAAGUACUUUCAGCAGUGAGGAAGGCGGGUGUGUUAAUAGCACAUUCGUUUGACGUUAGCUGCAGAAGAAGCACCGGCUAACUCCGUGCCAGCAGCCGCGGUAAUACGGAGGGUGCGAGCGUUAAUCGGAAUUACUGGGCGUAAAGCGCAUGCAGGUGGUUUGUUAAGUCAGAUGUGAAAGACCCGGGGCUCAACCUCGGAAUUGCAUUUGAAACUGGCAGACUAGAGUACUGUAGAGGGGGGUAGGAAUUUCAGGUGUAGCGGUGAAAUGCGUAGAGAUCUGAAGGAAUACCGGUGGCGAAGGCGGCCCCCUGGACAGAUACUGACACUCAGAUGCGAAAGCGUGGGGAGCAAACAGGAUUAGAUACCCUGGUAG
rnacentral:rRNA from 1 species